GAAUGCUGACAUAAGUAACGAUAAAGCGGGUGAAAAGCCCGCUCGCCGGAAGACCAAGGGUUCCUGUCCAACGUUAAUCGGGGCAGGGUGAGUCGACCCCUAAGGCGAGGCCGAAAGGCGUAGUCGAUGGGAAACGGGUUAAUAUUCCCGUACUUGGUGUUACUGCGAAGGGGGGACGGAGAAGGCUAUGUUGGCCGGGCGACGGUUGUCCCGGUUUAAGCGUGUAGGUGUGUGUUCCAGGUAAAUCCGGUUCACUUUAACACUGAGGCGUGAUGACGAGGCACUACGGUGCUGAAGUAACAAAUGCCCUGCUUCCAGGAAAAGCCUCUAAGCAUCAGGUAACAUCAAAUCGUACCCCAAACCGACACAGGUGGUCAGGUAGAGAAUACCAAGGCGCUUGAGAGAACUCGGGUGAAGGAACUAGGCAAAAUGGUGCCGUAACUUCGGGAGAAGGCACGCUGACACGUAGGUGAAGUGAUUUACUCACGGAGCUGAAGUCAGUCGAAGAUACCAGCUGGCUGCAACUGUUUAUUAAAAACACAGCACUGUGCAAACACGAAAGUGGACGUAUACGGUGUGACGCCUG
rnacentral:rRNA from 1 species